rnacentral:rRNA from 1 species
GACGAACGCUGGCGGCGUGCUUAACACAUGCAAGUCGAACGAUGAAGCCGGAGCUUGCUCUGGUGAAUUAGUGGCGAACGGGUGAGUAACACGUGAGUAACCUGCCCUUGACUCUGGGAUAACUGCGGGAAACUGUAGCUAAUACCGGAUACGACCCUCGGAGGCAUCUCCUGGGGGUGGAAAGAAUUUCGGUCAAGGAUGGACUCGCGGCCUAUCAGCUAGUUGGUGAGGUAAAGGCUAACCAAGGCGACGACGGGUAGCCGGCCUGAGGGGGUGACCGGCCACACUGGGACUUAGACACGGCACAGACUCCUACGGGAGGCAGCAGUGGGGAACAUUGCACAAUGGGCGCAAGCCUGAUGCAGCAACGCCGCGUGAGGGAUGACGGCCUUCGGGUUGUAAACCUCUUUUUGCAGGGAAGAAGCGAAAGUGACGGUACCUGCAGAAAAAGCACCGGCUAACUACGUGCCAGCCGCCGCAGUAA